ACAGAGGUCUCAAGCGUUGUUCGGAUUCAUUGGGCGUAAAGGGUGCGUAGGUGGCGGGGUAAGUCUGGUGUGAAAUCUCGGAGCUCAACUCCGAAACUGCACUGGAUACUGCCUUGCUCGAGUACUGGAGAGGAGAUUGGAAUUUACGGUGUAGCAGUGAAAUGCGUAGAUAUCGUAAGGAAGACCAGUGGCGAAGGCGAAUCUCUGGACAGUUACUGACACUGAGGCACGAAGGCCAGGGGAGCAAACGGGAUUAGAUACCCCGGUAGUCCUGGCAGUAAACGGUGCGCGUUUGGUGUGGGAGGAUUCGACCCCUUCUGUGCCGGAGCUAACGCGUUAAACGCGCCGCCUGGGGAGUACGGUCGCAAGAUUA
rnacentral:rRNA from 1 species